GGGUGUUUGGUCUAGUCGUAUGAUUUCUGUUUUGCAAUGACCCAGUGUUCUUGCAUUCCUUACAGACGGCCCCGUGUUCGAUCCACGGAACAUCCA